rnacentral:tRNA from 1 species
CAGAAGAUAGUUUAAAUAAAAUUUUAAUUUUGGAGAUUAAAAAUAAGGUAAUCGCCUUUCUUCUGA